GAUGAACGCUGACAGAAUGCUUAACACAUGCAAGUCAACUUGAACUUCGGUUUGGGUGGCGGACGGGUGAGUAACGCGUAAAGAACUUGCCUCACAGCUAGGGACAACAUUUGGAAACGAAUGCUAAUACCUGAUAUUAUGAUUUUAGGGCAUCCUAGAAUUAUGAAAGCUAUAUGCGCUGUGAGAGAGCUUUGCGUCCCAUUAGCUAGUUGGAGAGGUAACGGCUCACCAAGGCGAUGAUGGGUAGCCGGCCUGAGAGGGUGAACGGCCACAAGGGGACUGAGACACGGCCCUUACUCCUACGGGAGGCAGCAGUGGGGAAUAUUGGACAAUGGACCAAGAGUCUGAUCCAGCAGUUCUGUGUGCACGAUGAAGUUUUUCGGAAUGUAAAGUGCUUUCAGUUGGGAAGAAAAAAAUGACGGUACCAACAGAAGAAGUGACGGCUAAAUACGUG
rnacentral:rRNA from 1 species